CAUUUACUGUGCUCUCUGAUAUGCAGACCGCUCAGAAAGAAAAAAACCAGAACACCUACGUAUAAGCUCCCACUAUCCUAAAAGCAGGUGAUCAAGGAGAAGACCAAGGAGCAGGUUGCUACACCUUUACCAUCUCCACAACAUCUCCAUCUCAACAACCUUUGCCACACAGACUGACUCACUAGAGGAGAAUGUGACACAUUCAGAUUCCAUCCAACAUCCCGGCGGAGACUUUCAAAAAUCCAUCUGGAUAAUAUCUGGAUAUGGCAAAAAUCUGAUUUGUGCUGGCAGUUUGAACAAAAUUUUCCUGUUUAGUCUUUUACAGUUCCAAAAAAAAAAAAAAAAAACCCACCUCGGCCAUCAUUGCCUU